rnacentral:rRNA from 1 species
CCUACGGGAGGCAGCAGUGGGGAAUUUUGGACAAUGGGCACAAGCCUGAUCCAGCAAUGCCGCGUGAGUGAAGAAGGCCUUCGGGUUGUAAAGCUCUUUUGUCAGGGAAGAAACGGUGGGAGCUAAUAUCUCCCGCUAAUGACGGUACCUGAAGAAUAAGCACCGGCUAACUACGUGCCAGCAGCCGCGGUAAUACGUAGGGUGCAAGCGUUAAUCGGAAUUACUGGGCGUAAAGCGUGCGCAGGCGGUUUUGUAAGUCUGUCGUGAAAGCCCCGGGCUCAACCUGGGAAUUGCGAUGGAGACUGCAAGGCUUGAAUCUGGCAGAGGGGGGUAGAAUUCCACGUGUAGCAGUGAAAUGCGUAGAGAUGUGGAGGAACACCGAUGGCGAAGGCAGCCCCCUGGGUCAAGAUUGACGCUCAUGCACGAAAGCGUGGGGAGCAAACAGGAUUAGAUACCCUGGUAGUCCACGCCCUAAACGAUGUCUACUAGUUGUCGGGUUUUAAUUAACUUGGUAACGCAGCUAACGCGUGAAGUAGACCGCCUGGGGAGUACGGUCGCAAGAUUAAAACUCAAAGGAAUUGACCGGNNGAGAGUGACGAGACGACGACGAGGGAGAGG